GGAGAGAUGGCCGAGCGGUCGAAGGCGCACGCUUGGAAAGCGUGUAUACGUCACAAGCGUAUCGAGGGUUCGAAUCCCUCUCUCUCCGCCA
rnacentral:tRNA from 1 species